rnacentral:rRNA from 1 species
AACGGGUGAGUAUAAUGUGGGUAUCUGCCUUUUGGUUUGGAAUAACACGAGGAAACUUGUGCUAAUACCGGAUAAGCCUUUACAGGGAAAGUUUUAACGCCAAAAGAUGAGCCCACACUUGAUUAGCUAGUUGGUAAGGUAAAAGCUUACCAAGGCUACGAUCAAUAGCUGAUCUGAGAGGAUGAUCAGCCACAUUGGGACUGAGACACGGCCCAAACUCCUACGGGAGGCAGCAGUGGGGAAUCUUGCACAAUGGGGGAAACCCUGAUGCAGCGAUGCCGCGUGAGUGAAGAAGGCCUUUGGGUUGUAAAGCUCUUUCGUCGGGGAAGAAAAUGACUGUACCCGAAUAAGAAGGUCCGGCUAACUUCGUGCCAGCAGCCGCGGUAAUACGAAGGGACCUAGCGUAGUUCGGAAUUACUGGGCUUAAAGAGCUCGUAGGUGGUUAGAAAAGUUGGUGGUGAAAUCCCAAGGCUUAACCUUGGAACUGCCAUCAAAACUUUUUAACUAGAGUAUGAUAGAGGUAAGUGGAAUUUCUAGUGUAGAGGUGAAAUUCGUAGAUAUUAGAAAGAACACCGAUUGCGAAGGCAACUUUCUGGAUCAUUACUGACACUGAGGAGCGAAAGCAUGGGUAGCGAAGAGGAUUAGAUACCCUCGUAGUCCAUGCCGUAAACGAUGUGUGCUAGACGUUGGAAAUUUAUUUG